ensembl:snRNA U6 U6 spliceosomal RNA
GCUUGCUUUGGCAGCAUAUGCUAAAACUGGAACAAUACAGAGAAGAUUGGCAUGCCCCUGCGCAAGGAUGGCAUGCAAAUUUGUGAAGCAUCCUGUGUGAAA